UCUAUAGUCCGUCCGUCCCAAAAUUCUUGUCUUAGAUUUGUCUAAAUAUGGAUGUAUCAAGUCACAUUUUAGUAUUAGAUACAUCUGUAUCUAGACAAAUCGAAGACAAGAAUUUUGGGACGGAGGGAGUACUAC
rfam:Triticum aestivum genome assembly, contig: Triticum_aestivum_CS42_TGACv1_scaffold_158401_2DL